rnacentral:rRNA from 1 species
CCUACGGGUGGCAGCAGUGGGGAAUCUUGCACAAUGGGCGAAAGUCUGAUGCAGCGACGCCGCGUGAGGGAAUACAGUCCUUCGGGUUUAAACCUCUUUCUUUCAGGAAGAAAAUAACAGUACCCAAAGGUGAAUCUCCGGCUAACAACGUUCCAGAAGCCGCGGUAAUCUGUGGUGAUCUAGCGUUGUCCGGAAUUACUGGGUGUAAAGGGCGCUGAGGCGGGCGAGAAAGUUGAAGCUUAAAUUGACCGGAUUAACUGGUAGCUGCGUUUAAAACUUCGUGUCUUGAGUGAAGUAGAGGCAGGCGGAAUUCCUAGUGUAGCGGUGAAAUGCGUAGAUAUUAGGAGGAACACUAGUGGCGAAGGCGGCUUGCUGGGCUUUAACUGACGCUGAGGCUCGAAAGCGUGGGUAGCAAACAGGAUUAGAUACCCGUGUAGUC